rnacentral:rRNA from 1 species
AUUGAACGCUGGCGGAAUGCUUUACACAUGCAAGUCGAACGGUAGAGGGGGCAACCCCUCGAGAGUGGCGAACGGGUGAGUAAUAUAUCGGAACGUGCCCAGUCGUGGGGGAUAACGUAGCGGAGGGUACGCUAAUACCGCAUACGAUCUAGGGAUGAAAGCGGGGGAUCGCAAGACCUCGCGCGAUUGGACCCGCCGAUAUCAGAUUAGGUAGUUGGUGGGGUAAAGGCUCACCAAGCCAACGAUCUGUAGCUGGUCUGAGAGGACGACCAGCCACACUGGAACUGAGACACGGUCCAGACUCCUACGGGAGGCAGCAGUGGGGAAUUUUGGACAAUGGACGCAAGUCUGAUCCAGCCAUUCCGCGUGCAGGAUGAAGGCCCUCGGGUUGUAAACUGCUUUUGUACGGAACGAAAAGGUCUCUCUUAAUACGGGGGGCUCAUGACGGUACCGUAAGAAUAAGCACCGGCUAACUACGUGCCAGCCGCCGCCGUAA